GCAAACAUGAAAAGCAAGCUUGGUUUAGUUUUAGACUCCCACCACAGUGAUCCAUAAACAUCUGAUUUAAGCUUAUAAUAAGACCUUUGAAUAUUUAACCAAGCAAACUUUGUUUUCGAUCAAAGACAUAUACCCAAUUACAUUACGUAUCAACAAAUUUGCACUAACUAAAUUGACUGCCAUAAAACUUCGGUUUUAGGAGCAGAGCAUUCAACCUUUUUAACCAGACACACUCCAGACCUUUUAACUAAAAUGAAAAAUUAAGAGUUGGAAAAGAAAUAGAACUUAGGUCAGAUCUGCAGAGCAACCAAAUGAGCGAAUACAUAUCAUACUAAGCAUGGAUCAAAUUUUAAACCAAGUGCAUCUGAACAAACACGGGCAGAAGGUAUUUUUCUUGCAAAUCCAUCAAACAUGAAAAUGUAAAUGAACUCAUAGCAACUCCUCAAUCACACAAAUGAAAUUGAUAAACUAUAGAUGCACUAAAUCAACACAAUAUUCUUUAAAAAAACACAACUACUAUUUAGUAUCAUGAGACUAGUGCACAUAUUGAACUCCCAAUCGAUUUCAUGACUACAAAAUCACAUGUCAUACAUUCAUGGGUCUAAGAAAGUACCUGGGAAAAGAAAAACAAGAAAUAGGGAUAUCAGCAGCGGACAGUAUCAGCCAGCCCAAGACCAACAAACCAAUGAAAUAGUAAAUCUCCAUAACUAACCAAAACUUGCUUUAAAAGAUUCAAAUCACCCUAUAUUCAAACCCACAUAGAUCAAAGGUAACUUCAACAAUUUUAAACUCCCGAAUGAGAGAAGGAACUUCAAUGGAAUAUUUAGGAAGUCUGAAAUCAACUCUAAACCAAAAAGUUCAAACCAUUUGUUUUCCACUAGAAAUGUAGAAAAGGGAAGUUUCUAAGUAUUCAGCAGAAAUUUUAAUGGUUUCUAAUAAUGAAAAUGUAGGAACUUAACUUAAGAACUUAAAAUAUUCAGCCGUUUCAGUUUUUGAAUUUUUAUCUCUUCAAAGUCUGCCUUCAAUGCCAAAUAAAGUUGCCUUUAUA
rnacentral:lncRNA from 1 species